rnacentral:ncRNA from 1 species
AACUAUCAUGUCAGUAUUAAUCAAUAAGCAGUAUUAUAAUAGUGCUUUUAUGUACUUUGUGCAUUACUGCUAGUCCUCAUGAGUAAUAUAUA